rnacentral:rRNA from 1 species
GACGAACGCUGGCGGCGUGCUUAACACAUGCAAGUCGAACGGAAAGGCCCUGCUUUUGUGGGGUGCUCGAGUGGCGAACGGGUGAGUAACACGUGAGUAACCUGCCCUUGACUUUGGGAUAACUUCAGGAAACUGGGGCUAAUACCGGAUAGGAGCUCCUGCUGCAUGGUGGGGGUUGGAAAGUUUCGGCGGUUGGGGAUGGACUCGCGGCUUAUCAGCUUGUUGGUGGGGUAGUGGCUUACCAAGGCUUUGACGGGUAGCCGGCCUGAGAGGGUGACCGGCCACAUUGGGACUGAGAGACGGCCCAGACUCCUACGGGAGGCAGCAGUGGGGAAGAUUGCACAAUGGGCGGAAGCCUGAUGCAGCAACGCCGCGUGCGGGAUGACGGCCUUCGGGUUGUAAACCGCUUUCGCCUGUGACGAAGCGUGAGUGACGGUAAUGGGUAAAGAAGCACCGGCUAACUACGUG